AAGAAUGAGGCAGCAGGACAGAGAAGGACGGAGACCCGGGGAGGGCAAGAUGUCCUCCUUUCCUCAGAGGAGAAGGACCCUUCACGGUGGUGGAAAAUAAAAGCACAGAAAGAGCCAAGAACAGAAGAUGUGACAUAUAUAUCAACCCAAGCCCAUCUCUACUAUAACUGAACUAACCUGAAACUACAAUCAAGAUUUCUAUUGCAAGAACAAAAAGCUAAAGGACUAUCCAGAAUGGAUCUUGCUGCCAACAGAGGACUAAACUUAUUACUCAAUUUCCUGCUUAUUUUCUUGGUUCUUGUUCUCAUGUUCAUCCUUGUGAAGCUCAUGUGAAUUGCUUUUGUACUUGUAUCCCACUAUGGUCACUUGAGAAUUGAAACCAUAUGAACCUAAACAAAGACCCCCACAACCCAAUAAACUGCAGUUCAGGAAAGCAUCACUUUUAUGAGACAACUUAAUAACACCAAUUUGCUGGUGUAUAUUUUUAAACCACAAUACAGCAAGCGGAGAACUUAAAAGAUUCAAAGCCUUUACUGGAGCGGCUACACCCUGACACUAUGGAAGAAGGUGAACUGUAGCACCGACACCAGCACGAUAUACCAUUUACUUGUAUUUGUAUGUGCAUCAAAGAAUAGACAGAUUGUAAACUUCUAACAUGACAGACUCUGCAAACAGAGCAGAAGGAAGAAAAAAAACCUAAACUAAACCCUGCAGUUCUAGAACCCCAAAAUUAGAGAAAGCCAUGGCUUAUAAGAAAGCAGCAAGCAUGAAAAUAAUUACAGGAAUAGAGAGAUGCAACUGACUUGAAGAAAGCAAGGAGUUCUGGGACUUUGAUUUGGGGACAGGGAAAGAGAAAUAAGGGGGAAUAAGAAGGGGGAAAACUUUUACGAAUCAAUCCUAUGCACUCAAAACCAAGACUAAAUUCACACAUGCCACUUGAAACACUAUUCAGGCCUUUUCUCACUUUUGUUACGCAUAUUAAAAAAACAGAAAGGCACCUUUAAAUGUGCUCAUAUUGACUUUCUGAAUUUAUUGAUGACCAUAAAGGAAAGUUGAUUUACAGUUAUUUUUUUCAUUUCUUUCUGUGCUUUAUGAUGCAGAUGUUCAUUUCAUCUUAGUUUCACAGUGUCUGAAGGGGCUUACCCAAUUGCAGCCUUAAACUACUUUAUAGUCUCCUUCUAUCAGAGUUUAUUCAACUUUACCAUAUUAGCCACACACCUUUAAUAAAAGAAUAUCGCGUUUCCCUUAGAUAAAUAACCUCAUAACUACCAUACUAAUUUUCAGGUCAUUCUUAGUUAAAUAUUUAUCUCCAGAGGACCCUUCAACUCAGGUGAAAAUAUUGUGCAGGAGAUGUGACAACACAUAGACCUAUCUAGGGUUCUUUUAUCUCUGUUGCUUUUUACUGCUGCUUUUCUUAAUUAAUGAACUACAGUUUUGUCAGCUUAUUUAUACAUCUAUAUUUCACACAGAAUAAAGAGAACUUACAGCAAGAUCUUUACA